CACGUAGGGCGCAAGCGUUGUCCGGAAUUAUUGGGCGUAAAGAGCUCGUAGGCGGUCUGUUGCGUCCGCUGUGAAAACUCGGGGCUUAACCCCGAGCCUGCAGUGGAUACGGGCAGACUAGAGGUAGGUAGGGGAGAAUGGAAUUCCCGGUGUAGCGGUGAAAUGCGCAGAUAUCAGGAGGAACACCGAUGGCGAAGGCAGUCGUCUGGGCCAUAACUGACGCUGAGGAGCGAAAGCAUGGGGAGCGAACAGGAUUAGAACCUACGUAGUCAG
rnacentral:rRNA from 1 species